GGAAUAUUGGGCAAUGGAGGAAACUCUGACCCAGCCAUGCCGCGUGAGUGAAGAAGGUUUUCGAAUUGUAAAGCUCUUUCGGGUAAGACGAUGAUGACGGUAUUACCUAAAGAAGCCCCGGCAAACUUCGUGCCAGCAGCCGCGGUAAUACGAAGGGGGCGAGCGUUGUUCGGAAUUACUGGGCGUAAAGGGUGUGUAGGUGGAUGAGUAAGAUAGCGGUGAAAUACCUGGGCUUAACUUAGGAAUUGCCGUUAUAACUAUUUAUCUAGAGUGACAGAGAGGAUAUUGGAAUACCCAGUGUAGAGGUGAAAUUCGUAGAUAUUGGGUAGAACACCGGAGGCGAAGGCGAGUAUCUGGCUGUCAACUGACGCUGAGGCACGAAAGCAUGGGGAUCAAACA
rnacentral:rRNA from 1 species